CUAGUAAAAGCUACUGCUCAUGGCGUUCUCUUUCUUCCACAUCAUCUCCACACUGAUGUUUUUUCUGCUUUUCUCGUUUUCUGUUGAUUGUACACAAGAUCAAAGAGAUUUAACUAGUCAGCAGGUGGAGUUUUGGUAUUAUAUCAACAUCUGCCGCUGGACUGCCGGACUGGUUGUUAUAUUGACUUUUUAACAUUAGAAGUGCUGAUGAUCAUCCCCUUAGCAACAUCCCAGCACAGCUCUCCUCUUCUUCACACAGUCUCUAACAUGGAGCACCUGUUAUGUUGCUGUUUCACUGCGAUCAACUAUCAGCUUCAAGAUAUGGGUUGAAGACAUUGAAUCAAACCAUCACUGCAGUCAACUGGAGGUCAAGAGAAGUCUGUAGAGCUAUUGUAUACUCUCUAUUCACAGCUGAGAAUUUUCAUCUGCAAGUACAUUUUGUUAGGUAUUGAUUUAAAAACAAAAAAAUUCUCAAAGCAUUGUGAUCUGUAACUGAAUGUGAAAGCUGGUCUUAUAUCACACAUGAUGUACUGUAAAACUACUUCUUUGAAUGUUUGCUCUGUAAUUUUAUACAUUUACUGCUCGACAGUGAUCAUUUUUUUCUCAGUUUUUCUACUCCACCUUGAUUAAUCUGCCUGUACCCUCUCUUCUUUUUCUUAUAUCUAAAUUAUAUUUUUGGCAGAGAACACAUUGACUGAAGAGGGCAUUUCAAUUGGGUUUAAAAAAUUUUUUUUUAGGCCUAUCUAUU